rnacentral:rRNA from 1 species
UACGUAGGGGGCAAGCGUUGUCCGGAUUUAUUGGGCGUAAAGAGCGUGUAGGCGGUUUGGUAGGUCCGCUGUGAAAACUCGGAGGCUCAACCUCGAGACGCCGGUGGGAAACCAUCUGGCUAGAGUCCGGAAGAGGAGAGUGGAAUUCCUGGUGUAGCGGUGAAAUGACGCAGAUAUCAGGAAGAACACCAAUGGCGGAAAGCAGCUCUCGUGGGACGGUACUGGACGCUGAGACGCGAAAGCGUCGGGGAGCGAACAGG